rnacentral:tRNA from 1 species
CCUGGUGUAGCUCAGUGGCAGAGCGCCCGGCUCGGGACCGGGAAGGCGCGGGUUCGAAUCCUGCCGCCAGGUC